rnacentral:rRNA from 1 species
GACGAACCGUCCAAACGUUAUUCGGAAUUACUGGGCUUAAAGGGUGCGUAGGCGGCUUGGCAAGUUGGGUGUGAAAUCCCUCGGCUCAACCGAGGAACUGCGCUCAAAACUGCCAGGCUAGAGGAAGAUAGAGGUGAGCGGAACUAAUGGUGGAGCGGUGAAAUGCGUUGAUAUCAUUAGGAACACCUGUGGCGAAAGCGGCUCACUGGGUCUUUUCUGACGCUGAGGCACGAAAGCUAGGGUAGCGAAC